rnacentral:SRP_RNA from 1 species
GCUGGGCAUGGUGGCGCAUGCCUGUAGUCCCAGCUACUUGGGAGGCUGAGGCAGUAGGAUCGCUUAAGCCCAGGAGUUUGAGGUUGCUGUGAGCUAGGCUGAUGCCACAGCUACUUGGGAGGCUGAGGCAGUAGGAUCGCUUAAGCCCAGGAGUUUGAGGUUGCUGUGAGCUAGGCUGAUGCCACGGCACUCACUCUAGCCCGGGCAACAAAGCGAGACUCUGUCUCA